UGACAUGGGCGCAGCUGAUCUUCAUGCCGGUGAGUGAAGAAGGCCUUCGGGUUGUAAAGCUCUUUCGGCAGGAACGAAAUGGUUCGUGCUAAUACCACGGACUGAUGACGGUACCUGAAGAAGAAGCACCGGCUAACUACGUGCCAGCAGCCGCGGUAAUACGUAGGGUGCAGGCGUUAAUCGGAAUUACUGGGCGUAAAGCGUGCGCAGGCGGUUUCUUAAGUCAGAUGUGAAAGCCCCGGGCUUAACCUGGGAACUGCGUUUGAAACUGGGAGACUUGAGUGUGGCAGAGGGGGGUGGAAUUCCACGUGUAGCAGUGAAAUGCGUAGAUAUGUGGAGGAACACCGAUGGCGAAGGCAGACCCCUGGGUUAACACUGACGCUCAUGCACGAAAGCGUGGGGAGCAAACAGGAUUAGAUACCCUGGUAGUCCACGCCCUAAACUAUGUCAACUGGUUGUCGGGGGAUUAACUCCCUUGGUAAACGAAGCUAACGCGUGAAGUUGACCGCCUGGGGAGUACGGUCGCAAGAUUAAAACUCAAAGGAAUUGACGGGGAACCGCACAAGCGGUGGAUUAUGUGGACUUAAUUCGAUGCAACGCGAAAAACCUUAACUACCCUUUGACAUGUGCGGAAUCCUUCAGAGCUGGGGGGGGGCCGAACGGGACCGUACACGGUGCUGAUGGUUGUCGUCACUCGUGUCUGAGAUGUGGGGU
rnacentral:rRNA from 1 species